CUCGCCGCCGCCCCUGCACCCCACCGCUCUGGUUCUCCUUCCUCCACCCAAACCCACCUCCACGGCUGCGGCCUCUUUCUUCCCCAUCCUCUCCCGUCCUCAAUACCAUGGCCUCGGGCUGCUGCUAUAGAUCCGGCGCGCGCAGAUCUGGGAUGAAGCUGAACCCUGACAUAGGUCUUGUCAGACCAGAGCUACCGUCGGGUGGCCGGUUACCACAAUUGCUCGGUGGAGGCCGCACCUAGUCGCGACUGGGUGCGUUGUGUGUGCGUGAUGACAUGGCGGCAGCAGCGGCAAUCAGUGGCUCCGGCGUGUCUACUAGUGAGAUGGUACCAAGUAGAUAUAUCCGCACAUGUUCGUCAACCGGCUGCAGAUGCGACCUUCUAUCAAUAUCUAUUUCAGAUGCAGGUCUUGGUGGCACUGCUGCAUGGCGCAAAAUAGAGCUUGAGAGGGCGGGCGGCCACGAUGGCCGUGAUGGAGCUGCUCCGUGAUCAACCAGGGGUAUGAUUGGGUAGUGGUCUACAAAGUGCUACCCAUCAUAAUCCGCGCCAGGACAUGAUAGUUGCCAUCAGGAGAGUCGACAAAGAAUCUCAACAGCAGCUUCAAAAGUUUAUAUGUUUUGUUGAUGUAAACUGGAUUGUACUGCUUCUUAACCUUGUUGUGUGAUAUAUUUAGUGUUGUAAAUUAUCAUUACAUGGAAGGAUUUGUAAACUGCUAUGUUGUAUAUACACACAUGAUUUUUUUGAAAAAAAUAUAUACAUACAAAU